CUGGUGGGUAGUUUGACUGGGGCGGUCUCCUCCUAAAGAGUAACGGAGGAGCACGAAGGUUGGCUAAUCCUGGUCGGACAUCAGGAGGUUAGUGCAAUGGCAUAAGCCAGCUUGACUGCGAGCGUGACGGCGCGAGCAGGUGCGAAAGCAGGUCAUAGUGAUCCGGUGGUUCUGAAUGGAAGGGCCAUCGCUCAACGGAUAAAAGGUACUCCGGGGAUAACAGGCUGAUACCGCCCAAGAGUUCAUAUCGACGGCGGUGUUUGGCACCUCGAUGUCGGCUCAUCACAUCCUGGGGCUGAAGUAGGUCCCAAGGGUAUGGCUGUUCGCCAUUUAAAGUGGUACGCGAGCUGGGUUUAGAACGUCGUGAGACAGUUCGGUCCCUAUCUGCCGUGGGCGCUGGAGAACUGAGGGGGGCUGCUCCUAGUACGAGAGGACCGGAGUGGACGCAUCACUGGUGUUCGGGUUGUCAUGCCAAUGGCACUGCCCGGUAGCUAAAUGCGGAAGAGAUAAGUGCUGAAAGCAUCUAAGCACGAAACUUGCCCCGAGAUGAGUUCUCCCUGAGACUUAGAGUCUCCUGAAGGAACGUUGAAGACGACGACGUUGAUAGGCCGGGUGUGUAAGCGCAGCGAUGCGUUGAGCU
rnacentral:rRNA from 1 species